ensembl:lncRNA
CUGUUUGGUCUCCUUUGUUUUUCACAUGUUCUCAUUUCUCUGAUUGAAUUUUUUCUUUUUUUUUUCCCAAAUCACCACCAACGCAUUUAUUUGUGGGAGAAAGGGUCAGAUCUUAUUAGGUACUUUAAACUGGAUAUGACUAGAGACAUGGGUCUGCCUAACAUCUGAGAGUUCACGAUUGCACAGAUAACCAUAUCCUGCAUGUGAGGCAUCACCGUGGGGCAUCACCCAACCUUGACCUUGACCAGGAUUGGCUGGGGGUGAGGGGGGAUACAUUCUGAGCAGUCAUACGAUUUCCCAUUUAGAAUGUGCUGUCUUCUCAGACAAGUAGUGUUGAGAAAAACAAAGAUAGGCUCCUAGCCAAGGCCUGGACAUGAUGGCCCUGGUGAAAGGGGCUCACAUCCUAUUUACAAAGCAAGAGGGCGAAGCUCCCAGCUGAGCUGCACGAUGAGAGCAGGGGUGACUUGAAAGGUGAUUCAGCUUACCCCAGGGCAAACCACGCUCCUGAUGACACCCAGUGGAAAAGCAGGCUGGAGCCUUGGAAGAGCUGGCCCUGCACACUCAGGUACUUCCAGAGGUGGAUCCAAGAUUUGAAUACUGGGGACCAAGGAGGGAGCCCAGCCUGCAGCCCGCAGUCCUUCCUGGCCAAGAAAUCACCAACCAGCAGGAAGGAGGAGGUCAGCAGGCUCACUGCAAUCCCCAUCAGAAAUUUGGUGUCAGCCCAGAUGGCCAGCGCCUGGCUGAACUGGGAACCUAGAUUCUGGUCGUUCCCCAGCCACCCCCCCAGGGCAUCACUCACGCUGUCAUCCACUAGGUAGGCACUGAUGAAGUGGGCCAGCAGGUUACAGCCCCACAAGAAAAUCUCCCAGGAGGUGGGGGUUUAAGCAUAUAAAGAAUCCCAGCAGGCCCUCUUCUUUAAAAAUCUUCCCAGUGGAGGUCAGCACACCACUGGACUUGGCCUCCCAUCCCACAAACUGGACUAUGCAGCGUGCCGAGACGACUUGCAGGGGGAGGGCCAGCAUGUGCGACCACCCAUGGCAUCAUCAUCGCGUAGGAGGUCUCCUUCAGCA